rnacentral:rRNA from 1 species
UACGGGGGGGAGCAAGCGUUGUUCGGAUUUACUGGGCGUAAAGGGCGCGUAGGCGGCCAGCACAAGUCAGUUGUGAAAUCUCCGGGCUUAACUCGGAACGGUCAAGUGAUACUGUCGGACUAGAGUACAGAAGGGGCAACUGGAAUUCUCGGUGUAGCGGUGAAAUGCGUAGAUAUCGAGAGGAACACCUGCGGCGAAGGCGGGUUGCUGGGCUGAUACUGACGCUGAGGCGCGAAAGCCAGGGGAGCGAACGGG